rnacentral:rRNA from 1 species
UGGCGGACGGGGGAGUAAUGUCUGGGAAACUGCCUGAUGGAGGGGGAUAACUACUGGAAACGGUAGCUAAUACCGCAUAACGUCGCAAGACCAAAGAGGGGGACCUUAGGGCCUCUUGCCAUCGGAUGUGCCCAGAUGGGAUUAGCUAGUAGGUGGGGUAACGGCUCACCUAGGCGACGAUCCCUAGCUGGUCUGAGAGGAUGACCAGCCACACUGGAACUGAGACACGGUCCAG